GAUGAACGCUGGCGGCGUGCCUAACACAUGCAAGUCGAACGGAGUAUUUCGGAUGAAGUUUUCGGAUGGAUUUUGAGAUACUUAGUGGCGGACGGGUGAGUAACGCGUGGGCAACCUGCCCCAUACCGGGGGAUAACAGCCGGAAACGGCUGCUAAAACCGCAUACGAUGCAGAAGUCGCAUGACUACUGCAUGAAAUAUUCAUAGGUAUGGGAUGGGCCCGCGUCUGAUUAGCUAGUUGGUGAGGUAACGGCUCACCAAGGCGACGAUCAGUAGCCGGCUUGAGAGAGUGACCGGCCACAUUGGGACUGAGACACGGCCCAAACUCCUACGGGAGGCAGCAGUGGGGAAUAUUGCACAAUGGGGGAAACCCUGAUGCAGCGACGCCGCGUGAGUGAAGAAGUAUUUCGGUAUGUAAAGCUCUAUCAGCAGGGAAGAGAAAGACGGUACCUGACUAAGAAGCCCCGGCUAACUACGUGCCAGCAGCCGCGGUAA
rnacentral:rRNA from 1 species